rnacentral:rRNA from 1 species
AACAAACGCUGGCGGCGUGCCUAAUACAUGCAAGUCGAACGGGGAAAGCUUUCGGGUGAGUACUAGUGGCGCACGGGUGAGGAACGCGUGGGUAAUUUUCCUUGAAGUGGGGGAUAACUAGUCGAAAGAUUAGCUAAUACCGCAUAAGACCACGAAAUCUGAGGAUUUUGAGGUAAAAGGUUUUUCGCUUCAAGAUAAGCCCGCGUAAGAUUAGCUAGUUGGUGAGGUAAUGGCUCACCAAGGCGACGAUCUUUAGCUGGUCUGAGAGGAUGAUCAGCCACACUGGAACUGAGACACGGUCCAGACUCCUACGGGAGGCAGCAGUAGGGAAUAUUGCACAAUGGAGGAAACUCUGAUGCAGCGACGCCGCGUGAGUGAUGAAGGACUUCGGUUCGUAAAGCUCUGUCGCAUGGGAAUAAUAAAUGAAGGUACCAUGCAAGAAAGGAUCGGCUAACUUCGUGCCAGCAGCCGCCGCGG